rnacentral:rRNA from 1 species
AGAGUUUGAUCCUGGCUCAGGACGAACGCUGGCGGCGUGCUUAACACAUGCAAGUCGAACGGUGAAGCCCUUCGGGGUGGAUCAGUGGCGAACGGGUGAGUAACACGUGGGCAAUCUGCCCUGCACUCUGGGACAAGCCCUGGAAACGGGGUCUAAUACCGGAUAUUACCUGGGAUUGCAUGAUCCUGGGUGGAAAGCUC